UACGUAGGGUCCGAGCGUUGUCCGGAUUUAUUGGGCGUAAAGCGCGUGUAGGCGGCGUGACAAGUCGGGUGUGAAAGCCCUCAGCUCAACUGAGGAAGUGCGCCCGAAACUGUCGUGCUUGAGUGCCGGAGAGGGUGGCGGAAUUCCCCAAGUAGAGGUGAAAUUCGUAGAUAUGGGGAGGAACACCGGUGACGAAGGCGGCCACCUGGACGGUAACUGACGCUGAGACGCGAAAGCGUGGGGAGCAAACAGG
rnacentral:rRNA from 1 species